AUCUGGAAUCUAAUAUAAGGCACAAAUGAAUCUUUCUGCCGAGACCAGCUCAGCAGGAUGGGGCUGAAGAACGGGUGCUGUGAAACUUAAGGAAAAAAGAUAACAUAAAACAAGACAGAGACAUUUAUCUUAAGUAAAGGUGGGAACCAGGGGACUCAAGGUCUCAGGGGCCAAAAGCACUGUCUCAAGAAACCACAUUGCUUUUAUUGUCCUCUUUAGGAUGAGAUUAAGUGAGGAGGGGGCUAUGGGUGGAGGAUAUAGGGUUUGAUUAUUUUAUAAGUUCUUUUAUUAUUUUAAAAGUCACUUAGCUGGUAGAAGUUUAAGCUUUUACUCUGACCUUGAGGCACAUAAUAAUUAGCAUUUGUUAGCUAUCUAUGCAUAGCAUUCCAGAGAAUCCUCACUGUGCUUCCACAAACUGCAUGCCUAUUUUCAGCAACCCAGCGUGCCUAGGUUUGCACCUUGGUUCUCUUUGCUAAUGCAUAUUCUGCUAACGACUACUCAUAAACCACUUGGCCAUGAGGUUCCUCUUUCUCUUACUCCUUAGAGGAUAUAUUGGAUAUAUAAUGCUUGUGCACACGGCGUGCCAAUCUGCACAGGUCCAUGUGCGUAGACCAACGCAUUCAGCUGACCCUAUGAAUAGCUUAUGCCUUUAGGUCUUUGUUCUUAAGCUUAAGUCAUUUACCAGCACUGUGACUCUUUUUCCAAGCAGGAAGAUGGGAUAAAGUAAAGCAAGAAGAUGGGAUAAAGUAAAGCAGGAUAAGAUGGAGUUUUCAGCAAAGAGGCUAAGAAAAUAUUGUAGAAACAUGUCUGUGACACCUUUCCACAGGAAAGAAAAUCAUGGACCUGCAGAAUAGACUUGUGGUUGCCAAGGGGGAGGAGGAAGGAGUGGGGUGGUUGGGGAGCUUGGGAUUAAUAGAUACAAACUAUUGCCUUUGGAAUGGAAUAGCAGUGAGAUCCUGCUGUGUAGCAAUGGGAACUAUGUCUAGUCACUUAUGAUGGAGCGUGAUAAUGUGAGAAAAUAGAAUGUGUACAUGUAUGUGUAACUGGGUCACCAUGCUAUACAGUAGAGGCCACACUUGGGGCAUGUAGCAGUUCCUAGGCCGGGGACUGAACCCAUACCAAAGCAGUGACCUGAGCCACAUCAGUGACAGUGCUGGAUCCUUAACUCACUGUGCCACAAGAGAACUCCAAGAUCCAACUGGAUUUUUUUUUUUUUUUCCUGUCUUUUUAGGGCUACACCCUCAGCAUAUGAAGAUUCCCAGGCUAGGGGUCAAGUUGGAGCUGCAGCUGCCAACCUAUGCCACAGGCACAGCAAUGCAGGAUCCAAGCCGAAUCUGCAGCCUACACCAUAGCUCACGGCAACUCGGGAUCCUUAACCCACUGAGCAAGGCCAGGGAUCUAACCUGCAGCCUCAUGGUUCCUAGUCGGAUUCCUCUCUGCUGGGCUAGGACCGGAACUCCUGUUUUACUUUCUAUUUGUUACAUUCUAGCAAUGGUUUCCUGAAUUUCUGUGGUAGCUUUAAUACAAUCUAUAUUGUAAUUCCUAGGGGGGUUACCACCCUUUUCCUUAAGGUGGGGGCUGGGAGAACUACUUCACAACGUCAACAUUUUGAUUGCAUUUUGAUUUCAAUUCAGAAAGGAAGGCAUUGCACAGGGGGAUAAACUUUGAGGUGACUGGGGACUGAGGCUUUUGUGAAUUCCAGCUACUUGGUCUCUAGGUCUUCCUUUUGGGUUUUGUCAAAGUCCUCUAUUCUCCUGCAAAUACCUGUGACAGCAACAUAUUACCACUUGUGUGCCUAGGCUUGCAUAUUUGGUAUAUUGCACAGUUUCGGAUGGCAGAGUAAAGGAAGACUUUUUUAAUAGGAUAGGAAAGGUAAAAUGAUUGCCCAGUCUUAGCACCUGGCUAGGGUAUCUCCUGGGUAGAGAAACAAGAGUUGUGCCCAAUUAAAAUAAUCCCCAUUUUAAUGAAUCUGUUCAUUUUUCCAGGUUUGUGGUUUUUGUGAUUUUGGUAGAGGCUUUCCUAAACUAUGAGGGCAAUAUAGAAAUCACCAGAUAGGAGUUCCCAUUGUGGUUCAGUGGUUAACAAACCUGACUAGUAUCCAUGAGGAUUUGGGUUCGAUCCCUGGCUUUGCUCAUUGGGUUAGGGAUCCCGUGUUGCUAUGGCUGUGGUUUAGGCAGGCAG
rnacentral:lncRNA from 1 species